rnacentral:rRNA from 1 species
CCUACGGGGGGCAGCAGUGAGGAAUAUUGGUCAAUGGACGAGAGUCUGAACCAGCCAAGCCGCGUGAAGGAUGAAUGCCCUAUGGGUUAUAAACUUCUUUUAUAUGGGAAUAAAACAGGGUAUGCAUACCCUCAUGUAUGUACCAUAUGAAUAAGGAUCGGCUAACUCCGUGCCAGCAGCCGCGGUAAUACGGAGGAUCCGAGCGUUAUCCGGAUUUAUUGGGUUUAAAGGGAGCGUAGGUGGGUCGUUAAGUCAGGUGUGAAAGUUUGCGGCUCAACCGUAAAAUUGCAUUUGAAACUGGCAGUCUUGAGUACAGUAGAGGUAGGCGGAAUUCGUGGUGUAGCGGUGAAAUGCUUAGAUAUCACGAAGAACUCCGAUUGCGAAGGCAGCUUACUGGACUGCAACUGACGCUGAGGCUCGAAAGCGUGGGUAUCAAACAGGAUUAGAUACCCCUGUAGUC